rnacentral:rRNA from 1 species
GACGAACGCUGGCGGCGUGCUUAACACAUGCAAGUCGAACGGAAAGGCCCUGCUUUUUUGGUGUGCUCGAUUGGCGAACGGGUGCGUAACACGUGAGUAUCCUGCCCUUGACUUUGGUAUAACUUCAGGAAACUGGGGCUACUACCGUAUAGGAGCUCCUGCUGCAUGGUGGGGGUUGGAUAGUUUCGGCGGUUGGGGAUGGACUCGCGGCUUAUCAGCUUGUUGGUGGGGUAGUGGCUUACCAAGGCUUUGACGGGUAGCCGGCAUGAGAGGGUGACCGGCCACAUUGGGACUGAGAGACGGACCAGACUCCUACGGGAGGCAGCAGGGGGGAAUAUUGCACAAUGGGCGGAAGCCUGAGGCAGAAACGCCGCGUGCGGGAUGACGGCCUUCGGGUUGUAAACCGCUGUCGCCUGUGACGAAGCGUGAGUGACGGUAAUGGGUAAAGAAGCACCGGCUAACUACGUG